ACACACAUGUCAGAAAUGUGGUCAGUUUUGCAUUUUCCCAUUAUUUGAAAAAAGAAACGUUUUGUUCAAGCGAUCCAAACUACAUUGUCCUGUAUUGUGCAGUUGUUCUGGCAAACAUUAAGGACAUAACAACAAAAACAAAAUGAAACAAACAACACACUGUGUGCUUUAGUGUUUUUCCCCAACAGAGUUUAGUUUCUUAACAGUUCAGUCAUAUCUUGCAGUAGAUUUCUCAUUUGCUGGCCUUGCAUCACUUGUUUACAGAACAUUGCUGCCUCAGUGAGGUGAAGUUAUAUUACGUGCUACUGCAGAUUUCACACCCAUGAGAGAAGACCUUAUUUCAGGCUUUUUGCACCCCAGCAUGAACUGCACCAGACACAAAUGGACCAACAACAAUGGACCAGCUGCUCUGGGAGAAAAACAUAAAAUCUUUAGAGCCCUACAACUGGGAAUAUGAGAACAAAAACCAGACGCAAUGGCAAUUUAAUAAGCCAAUUACAACAGGGCUUUUCUAAAGCAUGUUUUUUUUUAACAAAGAGAGGUUUAAAGGCGGGGUUAUGAGAUAACAUUUGCCCCUUUUUAGUUUUGCUUCACUAAUCAGCUUCAUUAACUCUAUUUCAACACACCCUUCACGUAUGUCCAAGCAAUCCAGUCUCUGAAAACAGAACAGUGUGGGUAAGAAAAUGUUUGGAACAGGCUGCAGAUAACUUGCUUGGUUGCGUUCUGGUCUUUGGGAGCUGGUUCCAGGGAUCCGCUGACAGAAAGUAGGCCAAAGGACUGCGAAGGUGAGAUCUUUGAUAUGAUUGAUACUUUUCUACAAAUUACCAAUUGCAAAUAUGAAAUACAAACGCUGACUCAGUAUGGCAUAUAAGUCAGACUGAACUGAACUUUCUUCUUCUGUGUCCCAGUUUCUUCCACCACCAUCAGAACUUUGUCCUGAAAUGUACAACAGAACCGUUUACGCCAACUCCACCAACCUCAAGGCCCCUCUGCCGUGGUACGAGCAUCCAGAAUGUUCUGUGGCCCCUUAUGGGUUUGUGUUCUACUUCGGGGUCAAGGUGUUCAACUUCGCAAUGGGAGCGCCAUGUAACAUACUGGUCAUCUGGCAGAUCAUCACCAGAAAAAAUGACGCUUCCACAUCGGACAUCUUCAUCCUCAACCUUGCACUGCUGGAUGCCUCCUUCAGCUUGAUGACGCCCCUAGACAUGGUCAACCGACUAGUGCUGCAUGACGAUCGCAUCUUUUACUUUGUAAGAUUUGCAUAUGGGAUGAAGGAUGUGGGACCACUCUUUCUCGUGUGCAUCUGUUUGGACCGUUACAUGGCUGUCGUCCACCCUGUUUUAUUCACCACUUACCGAGACGGCUUGGCCCGCGUCUGCGUGUCUGUGCUGGUUUGGGGCCUCAUCCUGGCACACGGGCUCACCAAGUCCAUUUUGGGAGUCUUGAGUGUGGCGGAAAUCUUCAGUGGAGUUAUCCUUUUUGCUUUUGCAGUCAUGCUGUACUGCAACAUUUCCAUCAUCUGGGUGCUUCGGCGCUCUGUGGCAGGAAAAGAGGUGAUGCACCCUGUGAAAAAGAAAGCCUUUCGGAUAGUGUUGAUCAAUCUGGGCAUCAUCGUGGUGAACUACCUGCCACCUGUGGCGCUCAUGCCCUUUGUGUCGUACUACACGUUUGUUGAUUACUUCUGUAAGAUCAGUAUCAGCGUGUUCUCUAUCAUGGAUCUAAGCUGCAGCAUUGAGCCCCUCUUGUACAUCACAAAGAUGGAGAGAGUGGAAGGUAGGUGCUGCGGGUCGAUCUGA
ensembl:lncRNA